ensembl:lncRNA
AUGUCUGACCACAACUCAACUCUCCUCCCCCAGUUGAUGUCCUUGUGGGUCUGCAGUCUUCAGGAAGGGAUCUGUUCCUUCCAUGUCCUGACUGUUCCAGCUUGGCCACUGGAGGACUGUUGCUGCACGACCUCAAGGUUUCUGCCCCUCUGGUUGAGGUCCUGGUGUCUGCAGGGUUUGGAAAGGUGUGUGGCUUUAGACGUGAUCUUAAGGCUCCUUCCACAUGAAGCAUUCUGGAAUGUUGUACAUGAUGAAUUUCUGGGUUCCAGUCGGGUGGCAAUCGUGUUCUGGGGCUGGAUCAAGGUCUGGCCUCCCAUCGGUCCUCCUGUGGGUUGGGCAGACACUGACAAGCCUGCCUGCGUUUUGGGGCAGGGGUAAGGUGGGCUGCCUGCCUGGAGGGAGGGUGUCUGGGUGGGGGCUUGACCCCAGACCCUGGACCGAUGGCUACAAUGACUGAACUGCACGACGUGGACCUGAUCUGGUUUCAGAAUGUGCUGGAUGUAGUCUAGUAAUCUAAGAUGGGGAUUGUUUGGUUAAAACUGUUCUGUUUGUUUAGAUCUGGUUGGCUGCUGAAGUGUUGCUGUGCUGGUGGAGUGGGAAGGUGUGUAGGAUUAUUAUAAUACACUGAGUAUAGAGGACAUUAACACCUUCCUAAUAUUGACUUUACCCUCAGAACAGCCUGUUGUCUACAAGGGGUCUAAGCGUUCCACAGGGAUGUUGGCCCGUGACACAACUGUGGGUCGACAUUGGAGUCUAGUUAGCUGGAUGUCCUUUGGGUGGUGGACCAGUGAUACACAUGAGAAACUGUUGAGCUUGACAAACCCAGCAGUGUUUCAGUGGAUACAAACCGGUGUGCCUGGCACCUGCCAUGCCUCAUUCAAAGGAUCUUAAAUCCUUUGUCUUGUCCAUUCACCCUCUGAGUGGUACACAAUCCUUGUAUUGUGGUUUAGAAACCCUUUGAACCUGUCUGUUCAUCUACACUGAUUUAACCAGUCACUUCAAUAAGGGCUCGCUUUCACCUGGUCUGGUUAAUGUAUUGACCACUCAGUGGAUAUGUGUUGUAAUGGGAAAGGGGGCAGAUCAAUAUUAGGAAGAUGUUCAUGUUCUGUUGAAUGUUCCUCUUGGAUCAUCACACUGACCCAUUAAUGUGUUCUACACUACAUACUCUGAUGUGAUGAGUCAUCAUUACCGCCCCAGUCUGAUGUAACGCUGACUGAUUGGUUAAUCUCUGAUCAAGUCAUCUCAUACCUUGUGUAUUAGUCCCUACAGUAUCACCAGGGUUUAAUUAUCACACUAUUUUCCCUCUAGCUCUCCUGUUUUACACCUGCAAGCCCUCUUUCACUCCUGAUUGGUCAGCAAGGAAGUGGGGGAAACCAGGCCAAGUCAAUUCAACCCUGUGACUGUGUUUUGAUGUAUAAAUAAAUCUACAUAUUAAUGCUUGUCAUAUCUUCCUUUCUUGGUGGUAGUAAAUUAGACUUGGUAAAUCUGGCCAUUUUGAAUGAACCAUGUGGUGCUCUGUUCAGUAUUGAAUUCAAUGUGACAUUUCCUAUUAUCGCAAAUCAUGUUAAGGUUUUAAACAUGCCCAUAUAACGGUGACUGACUUCUCGCUGGCUAUAGGAAGCUGACUGAUUUAAGCCAAGCCUAUGUUUUUGAAUAGAUGUUAUUGUGAGCAGCAUGUGUAGCCGUGUAGUAAGCUUUGACACAAUGGGGUAGAUAUUAAAUGGGACAUUCAGUUUACGCUGCUACCAAUACCGCCAAAGAUGGUGGCUAGUGUUCACUCAGGCCUUUACCAUUGGGUCGAAAAGAAAAUGACGGUAUGUAACUGCGUGUCUGAUGGACAUAAAUGUGCCGGCUUGUAGUUCCGGAACCUCUGGUUCGUUUAACUGCUACAAUGCUGGAAAGAAUCGUGUUUCGGGAUUAAAGACGCUGCGUGGUAAAUUUGUUUGCGUUGGCGGUGAAGCAUUUACGGUGAUUUGGUGUCGGGCCAUUCAUAAUUUCGUGGAGGGAUGCAGAUUUGUUAAGGAAGUGAGUCUCGCCCUACCGUCAACCCAUAGUAUCAAUGCGAACUGUUACACAAUGAGGCGCACAGUGGUAGAAAAUUUGGGUUCUGACGACUACGUAAUUCAGUGUUGGCUCAUGAGGCUAGUUUCCCGGACACAGAUUGAGCCUAAUCCGGGACUGCAUUUACAUUAAAAUUAUGGAAUUGUCGAUUAACAAGAGAAAAAGCCGUACGUACAGUGGUAUGAAUGACGCAAAUUAAUUUCCACAAAGUUUGAUGCUUCAGUGUCUUUCAAUAUAUUUAGUCAGGUGUUACUGUGGAAUACUCUAUAGUUACAAGCAUUUCAGAAGUGUCGAAGGCUUUUAUUGACAAUUACAUGAAGUUGAUGCAAAGAGUCAAUAUUUGCAGUGUUGACCCCUUUUCAAGACCUCUGCAAUCUGCCCUGGCAUGCUGUCAAUUAACUUCUGGGCCACAUCCUGCUUGAUAGCCGCCCAUUCUUGUAUAGUCCACGCUUAGAGUUUGUCAGAAUUUGCGGGUGUUUGUUUGUUCACCCGCCUCUUGAGGAUUUACCAAAUUCUCAAUGGGAUUAAUGUCUGGGGAAUUUCCUGGCCAUGGACCCCAAAAUCUGAUGUUUUGUUCCCCGGGCCACAUCACUUUGUCCUUAUGGCAAGGUGCUCCAUGCUGGAAAAGGCAUUGUUCUUCACCAAACUGUUCCUGGAUAGUUGGGAGAAUUUGCUCUCGGAGGAUGUGUUCGUACCUUUUAUUCAUGGUUGUGUUCUUAGGCCAAAUUGUGAGUGAGCCCACUCCCUCGGCUAAGAAGCAACCCCACACAUGAAUGGUCUGAUGCUUUACUGUUGGCAUGACACAGGACUGAUGGUAGUGCUCACCUGGUCUUCUCCGGACAAGCUUUUUUCCAGAUGUCCCAAACAAUCGGAAAGGGGAUUCAUCAGAGAAAAUGACUUUACCCCAGUCCUCUGCAGUCCAAUCCAAUUUUGCACGCCCAAUUUUUCAGUUUUUGAUUUGUUAAAGUUUGAAAUAUCCAAUAAAUGUCGUUCUACUUGUUGAUUCUUCACAAAAAAAUACAGUUUUAUAUCUUUAUGUUUGAAGCCUGAAAUGUGGCAAAAGGUCGCAAAGUUCAAGGGGACCGAAUACUUUCGCAAGGCACUGUAGCAGGUGCUUUUAAUUUGAGUACAAAUGCUUAAAUUCUGUGACCUUAGCUGAUCUCAGAAAGGUUUAAGCCUGCGUUUACCACAGAUUCUUGUUUUCAGUGUUGAUGUAAAAACAUUUCCCCAGAGCAUUUGUCCAACAAACCAUGGCAGUUUGUGCCUAACAAGAUGCCAUUACUAUUACUCUCUAUAGCAGCUGGGUCUGGUCUACCUAGUUAAUUGAAUACGACACAUUGUUCAGCGAAUGGUAGUCUCGCUUGCCAUCCGUCUCAAACCUCAUUGUGUCUGCAUUGUGUGAUGUAUUGUCUUCACCUUCUUGCCCUUUGUGCUGUUGUCUGUGCCCAAUAAUGUUUGUACCAUGUUUUGUGCUGCUACCAUGUUUGGUUCUGCUACCAUGUUUGGUGCUGCUACCAUGUUUUGUGCUGCUACCAUGUUUGGUGCUGCUGCCAUGUUUUGCUACUAUGCUGUGUUAUGUGUUGCUGCCUUGCUAUGUUGUUUUAGGCCCCAGGCCCCGUCCCUGCAGGAGGCCUUUUGGUAGGCCGUCAUUGUAUAUAAGAAAUUGUUCUUAACUGACUUAUGUUAAUUUAAAAAAGAGAAAAACCUAAGCACUUUUUCCACAUCUAUCAUCUUCCAGUUCGUUGGAUAGAAAACAUGAAUGUCUCUAGUGGUAAACUGGGAUAGUGCAGCAGAACACCACUGGAUAGAAUACCUGUAUGUCUCUAGUGGUGAACUGGGAUAGUGCAGCAGAAUGCGACAGUCCUAUAAUUUCGGCCAUACAGUGGUUCGGCAAAAUUUGAUCAGGAAUUAAGACUAUUAGUGUAUGCGACAAUGUAUGUAAAAGGAUUAUUGGUAUAAAAUUCCUUUAAUCACUCAGAUGGAUGGUAUUUUCUGUGGCAUUCAAAAGGUCUUCGUCUGACAUUGGACAUGGUGUCAAACAACCUUUCACCUGACUGAUGCAUGCUUUCCUUAAAGGAAAAUUCCACCCCAAAACGGUCUUUUGGUAUUUGCAAAAUGCAUCAUAUGGGGAUUCGUGUAUUUUGAAAGUUCCAUAUCUUGAGAACCUGAUUGUUGAUAAGCAAAACAUUUUGGGACGAUGUCACAAUGGACUAAUGAAGCAAAUACCAGAAGAUGGUUUUUGGACGGCGUUGUCCUUUAACUGGUUUCUGGAACUCCCUGGAAAACUGUAUUUUAUGCUGUUAUUCUGUAGUCAUGAAAUUAAAACCUUUUCAAGACAUGAAGUCAAACUGUUA